AUUCAAGUAGCUUAAGUAUAGAGCAUAACACUGAAGAUGUUAGGGUAACUUUGUGGUUCUUGGAUA
rnacentral:tRNA from 1 species